AGUGAACGCUGGCGGUAGGCCUAACACAUGCAAGUCGAACGGCGGCACAGUAAGAGCUUGCUCUUACGGGUGGCGAGUGGCGGACGGGUGAGGAAUACAUCGGAAUCUACUUUUUCGUGGGGGAUAACGUAGGGAAACUUACGCUAAUACCGCAUACGACCUACGGGUGAAAGCAGGGGAUCUUCGGACCUUGCGCGAUUGAAUGAGCCGAUGUCGGAUUAGCUAGUUGGCGGGGUAAAGGCCCACCAAGGCGACGAUCCGUAGCUGGUCUGAGAGGAUGAUCAGCCACACUGGAACUGAGACACGGUCCAGACCCCUACGGGAGGCAGCAGUGGGGAAUAUUGGACAAUGGGCGCAAGCCUGAUCCAGCCAUACCGCGUGGGUGAAGAAGGCCUUCGGGUUGUAAAGCCCUUUUGUUGGGAAAGAAAAGCAGCAGGUUAAUACCCCGCUGUUCUGACGGUACCCAAAGAAUAAGCACCGGCUAACUUCGUG
rnacentral:rRNA from 1 species